UACAGAGGUCCCGAGCGUUGUUCGGAUUCACUGGGCGUAAAGGGUGCGUAGGUGGUUGGGUAAGUUUGAUGUGAAAGCUCAGGGCUUAACCCUGAAAUGGCAUUGAAUACUACUUAACUGGAGGUUUGGAGGGGGGACUGGAAUUCUUGGUGUAGCAGUGAAAUGCGUAGAUAUCAAGAGGAACACCAGUGGCGAAGGCGAGUCCCUGGACAACACCUGACACUGGAGGCACGAAAGCUAGGGGAGCAAACAGG
rnacentral:rRNA from 1 species